rnacentral:rRNA from 1 species
GAUGAACGCUAGCUACAGGCUUAACACAUGCAAGUCGAGGGGAAACGAUAUUGGAAGCUUGCUUCCGAUAGGCGUCGACCGGCGCACGGGUGAGUAACGCGUACCCAACCUGCCCACCACUUGGGGAUAACCUUGCGAAAGUAAGACUAAUACCCAAUGACGUCCAUAGAAGACAUCUGAAAUGGAUUAAAGAUUUAUCGGUGAUGGAUGGGGAUGCGUCUGAUUAGCUUGUUGGCGGGGUAACGGCCCACCAAGGCGACGAUCAGUAGGGGUUCUGAGGGGAAGGUCCCCCACAUUGGAACUGAGACACGGUCCAAACUCCUACGGGAGGCAGCAGUGAGGAAUAUUGGUCAAUGGGCGAGAGCCUGAACCAGCCAAGUAGCGUGCAGGAUGACGGCCCUAUGGGUUGUAAACUGCUUUUAUAAGGGAAUAAAGUGAGCCUCGUGAGGCUUUUUGCAUGUACCUUAUGAAUAAGGACCGGCUAAUUCCGUGCCAGCCGCCGCGGUAA